GCGUAAGCGCGCGCAGGCGGUUUCUUAAGUCUGAUGUGAAAGCCCACGGCUCUACCGUGGAGGGUCAUUGGAAACUGGGGAACUUGAGUGCAAAAAAGAAAAGCGGAAUUCCACGUGUAGCGGUGAAAUGCGUAAAGAUGUGGAGGAACACCAGUGGCGAAGGCGGCUUUUUGGUCUGUAACUGACGCUGAGGCGCGAAAGCGUGGGGAGCAAACAGGAUUAGAUACCCUGGUAGUCCACGCCGUAAACGAUGAGGGCUAGGUGUUAGAGGGUUUCCGCCCUUUAGUGCUGCAGCUAACGCAUUAAGCACUCCGCCUGGGGAGUACGGUCGCAAGACUGAAACUCAAAGGAAUUGACGGGGGCCCGCACAAGCGGUGGAGCAUGUGGUUUAAUUCUAUUCAACGCGAAGAACCUUACCAGGUCUUGACGGGGGCUGACAACUCUAGAGAUAGAGCGUUCCCCUUCGGGUGACAGAGUGACAGGUGGUGCAUGGUUGUCGUCAGCUCGUGUCGUGAGAUGUUG
rnacentral:rRNA from 2 species